rnacentral:rRNA from 1 species
UAGGGAAUCUUCGGCAAUGGACGAAAGUCUGACCGAGCAACGCCGCGUGAGUGAAGAAGGUUUUCGGAUCGUAAAACUCUGUUGUUAGAGAAGAACAAGGACGUUAGUAACUGAACGUCCCCUGACGGUAUCUAACCAGAAAGCCACGGCUAACUACGUGCCAGCAGCCGCGGUAAUACGUAGGUGGCAAGCGUUGUCCGGAUUUAUUGGGCGUAAAGCGAGCGCAGGCGGUUUCUUAAGUCUGAUGUGAAAGCCCCCGGCUCAACCGGGGAGGGUCAUUGGAAACUGGGAGACUUGAGUGCAGAAGAGGAGAGUGGAAUUCCAUGUGUAGCGGUGAAAUGCGUAGAUAUAUGGAGGAACACCAGUGGCGAUGGCGGCUCUCUGGUCUGUAACUGACGCUGAGGCUCGAAAGCGUGGGGAGCAAACAGG